AUGGCAACCUUCGACGCGGCCGUCUCCGGCCCGGACGCGGCGCCCGACCUCCGCCUCGUCGCGCACCAGUACAACCAGCUCCUCCACCUGCUCGCCUCCGCGGACGGCGCCGUCUUCCCCGUCCACCAGGCCGCCGCCGCGCGCCACGUGUUCGCCGGCAUGCUGGAGGCCAGGGCGCCCCCGUCCGAGGCCACCAUCACCUCGCUCGCCUGCGUCGUCGCUGCAGACGCCGAGGGCGCCUACGAAGCCUUCAGGCUCGUCUCCUCCAUGCGGCAGAAGUACGGCCUCGCGCUGCGCCUCCGGUCCUACAGCCCCGUGCUUGCCGCGUUCCGGCGCGCCGGGGAGGCUGGCAAGGCCUACGCGGUCGAGGCCCACAUGGCGGCCUCCGCUGCAUCGCCGGAAGAGCCCGAGGUCGCCCGCUCCUUGUGGUCAGCGCGAAGGCCAGGGACGCAGACAAGGCGUUUGAGUAUAUGCACAAGCUGCGGUGAGCUGUCGGCUGUGUGA
rnacentral:rRNA from 1 species